GGUAGAUCUGACAGCACCCUAUACACUGUGCUGUGCUCUCGGUCUUCCCUCCCACUCCCAAUCCUCAGGUCUCUGGGUCUUCCUUUUCUCCCAGGCCUGAUCCUCAGGUGUCUGGGUCUUCCUUUUCUCCCAGGCCUGAUCCUCAGGUGUCUGGGUCUUCCCUCCCUCCCAGUCCUGAUCCUCAGGUGUCUGACUGACUGGGUCUCUGGGUCUUCCCUCCCUCCCAGUCCUGAUCCUCAAGUGUCUGGCUGUCCCCCACCAUCCAUUCACAAGCCACAGGUCGGGGCCUGAAAGAUGUGCCAGACCUGCCAAACAUUGGCCUCCACCUCGCCCUGCAGACAUGGCUAAACUCAAACACACAGAUCAUACACACACACACACACACGCACCUUUCAACAAUCAUACCGUACUUAAUCGUACAGACACACACAGUUUCACAAUCACACCCAUGUUCACAUGAAAGAACACACAUUUUUUACAUUGACAUUCUUUGUCAUUUAGCAGAUGAUCUUAGCCAGCAAUUAGGGUUAAGUGCCUUGCUCAAUGGCACAUCAAAAGAUUUCUCACCUAGUCGACUGCCCAACACUCUGAACCACUAGGCCACAUUCAGCCCACACACACGCACACCAGGUGCGCAACGUUCGCUGGGGACGGGGGGGGACAUGUCCCACCCACAUUCUGAAAUUGCAUUUUUGUCCCCGCCAGUUUUAUCAUUGGAAUGUGAUAUAAAACAAGGCAACAGUGUGCUUUGGGACGCCUCCGAGCGGUCGGGUACAGACACACGUACGCACACAGUUUCACAAUCACACCCAUGUACACAUGCAUGCAAACACACACGCACACACACACGCACACUUACUCACUCACACACACACUCACACACACACUCACACACACACACACACACACACUCUUUCAACAUCAUUCCCCUUUAAUUAACCAGGUUAUUCUCGUUCAAGAGAGACAUGGACACUAAUUCCCAUUCACACCCAUGUAAACACACUGUCACUCCUUAACAGUCAACCUCCCACAGUUACAUGCCACAUCUUUCAGGCCCAAACAUACAGACAUGCUGCAUUUUUCUGCAUUCACACGGUCCCCCACACACCCAAACAUAAACACUAAGCAUGCACUCAGCCUCUCACACAUAGCUUGGCCCUAUAUUUGAACACCAACACACUAUACACACAUUCUUCCAUGCUCCAACACACCCACAGGGGCCCGGACUUAGUCGUAGACUCUCCUACCCAAUAAUGAUAAAGCGAAACAGGUUUUGGGAAUUUUGGGCCAAUUUAUAAAAAAAUAAGGAACAGAAAUACCUUAUUUACAUAGGUAUUCAGACCCUUUGCUAUGACACUCGAAAUUGAGCUCAGGUGCAUCCUGCUUCCAUGGAUCAUUCUUGAUGUUCUACAACUUGAUCAGAGUCCACCUGUGGUAAAUUCAAUUGACUGGACAUGAUUUGGAAAGGCACGCACCUGUCUAUAUAGUCCCACAGUUGACAGUGCAGGAAGGAAGUGGAGCUCCAAGACAGGAUUGUGUCGAGGCACAGAUCUGGGGAAGAGUACCAAAAAAUGUCUGCAGCAUUGAAGGUCCCCAAGAACACAGUGGCCUCCAUCAUUCUGAAAUGGAAGAAGUUUGGAACCACCAAGACUCUUUCUAAAGCUGGACACCUGGCCAAACAGAGCAAUCGGGUAGUAGGACCUUGGUCAGGGAGGUGACCAAGAAUUUGUUUAACACUUUUUUGGUUACUACAUGAUUCCAUAUGUGUUAUUUCAUAGUUUUGAUGUCUUCACUAUUAUUCUACAAUUUAGAAAAAAGUUAAAAAAUAAAGAAAAACUAUUGAAAGCGUGUCCAAACUUUUGACUGGUACUGUAUGUUUCCUGAGCUUUCUUAUAUCUCCUGGAUAUAGGAAAGACACUUCAAAAUCUUAUUCCUUAUGAUACAUUUUUUUAAAUUUUUUUAUUUUACUCCCUUUUCGCCUCAAUUGUUAGUAGUUACUAUCUUGUCUCAUCGCUACAACUCCCGUACAGGCUCUGGAGAGACAAAGGUCGAAAGCCAUGCGUCCUCCGAAACACAACCCAACCAAGCCGCACUGCUUCUUAACACAGCGAGCAUCCAACCCGGAAGCCAGCCACACCAAUGUGUCGGAGGAAACACCGUGCACCUAGCUGGCGCACACUGUGCCCGGCCCACCACAGGAGUUGCUAGUGCGUGAUGAGACAAGGAUAUCUCUACCGGCCAAACCCUCCCUAACACGGACGACGCUAGGCCAAUUGUGCGCCGCCCCGCUGCGACAGAGCCUGGGCCCCGACCCAGAGUCUCUGGUGGCACAGCUAGCCCUAGACCACAGCGCCACCCGGGAGGCCUUCUAAUGAUACAUUGGUAGCGCCAUCCUGGUGGCGCGGUGGACUAAUUCCAUGGAUAGAGAACGGUAGAUCAUAGGUUCAAAUCGCACUGAUGCUGUGUCACAAUAGAAAAUACACGUGUUUGCAUGAUCAAUUCCUAAGGAAAUGAACCUACCUAAAAAUAUCAACUCUUGGUCGUUUUUUCAUUAGUCCACUGUUGAUGUGGUCCCAAAAUGCUGCAUCAUCAUGUUGAUGUGGCCGGUGACAAUGUGGUUCUUGAAUGUCCAAUAUCUUGAAAACCUGACUGCUGACAUGCAAAACAUUUUGGGACUGUAUCAACAGCGGACGAAUGAAUUUUAUUUUUUUAAAUGUAAAAAUAUGAUCGACUAGUAACAUCAGCAUUUCGCUGCACCCGCUAUAACACCAACUAAACUGUGUAUGCGACCAAUACACUUUGAUUUGAUUAAGCUGGAUGCUUUUGGGAGAAGUAAAGUGGUAAGUCUUCUAAGCUAUGGUGUGUCUAUGUCUGUUUGUGUUGGUAUAGCGGACUGAGUGUAGUGACACGGCUUGUUUUGAUACUACUCAAACAAUGUUUAUGAUAGUAUUUCUAUGAAUGGUUCUCUCUGAGUGUGUUUGUGAGUGCAGUAUCUGAGGUUAUGUUGUCAGCUGUGUUUGUGAGGUUGUUAUGUAAUGGUUAUGAGCUAGCUAAGGCGGUUGUGAGGUGGUUGUGAGGCGGUUGUGAGGCGGUUGUUGUUUUUCCACGGCCUCUGGGCCUUCCUGUGUGACAGUAACGUGAGGUAAACCCCAGUAAAUAUGUCUUAGUCCUCCUUCCUCCCAUCUAAUUCCUCAUUACCUCACAGUAGGCUGUCUCAGGGGAGAUUUAGAACGCCCCCAGGGCGGUGGUGUGUUUGGCUAUGUUUUAAUGAGUGUGUGUUAACCCAUGCGGUGAGUGUGUUGGACCACAGAGGUUCACUGCGGGAAGCAGGUAGCCCUGCAGCCAGGUGUGUGACCGUUGAGCAGAUGGGUCAUGCAGGUGACACACUCUCUGGGGUCUUCUGAAUAUGUGUGUGUGUCUCUCUGUGUGUGGUUUCACAGCCCAUUCGUUACACUGGCUUACGUAGGUCCACUGUGUCUCUGUCCUGUUCUAUAUAGAAAGACUCCAUCCAGAAGGAAAACGCACUGACUUAAGUCUACUCACCAAUCAAGCCCUAUGACAGUGUUCGAUACGGAUGAGUUAGUCUCAGAUCUUAUCCACACUAACAAUCUUUGUUAAACGUUUAGAGAGGACCAAAAGAGGUGCGAGUCGGAGACACACUUGUGUGCUCUGUUGAUUGUUGAUUUGAUAUUAGUGCAUUUUUCUGGGGACUCGGGGGUUUUGCUCAUCCUUUCAGCUUUUCUCAGCGUAACUGAACGCCCAGCUUCGUCAAUCUACCCUCUCUACUUGUCUACCUGACUGUCUGUGUCUUCACCUUAGUCAACCCUUGUCUUUAAACAAACUCGUAAAAUCACAGUUUGCUCCCAACACUGUUCAAACAAGGCCAAGGAAAAGACAGAGGGGACCUGAGGGAAAUCUGUCAGCCAUGUACACCAGCCCCCAUCAGUGGAAGGAAGAAGUACUGCAGGAUGGAUGUUAUGAUAUUUUGAAGGAGAGAGAGGAUCUACAUUUUCAUGUGUGUAGUUGUUUUACAAUCUUUGAUAUUUUUGUUAUUAUCAAAUGUUUGCUUGUUAUUCAAUCUCGCAGGCUGAUUCCCAUCUUUGGAGGGGACAAACUACAUGUUCAAGCUCAGCUUUGAACUGUAUUACAAUAGCCAAUGUUAUCAACGGCCAAUGUUAUCAAUAUCCAAUGUUUUCAAUAGCUAAUAUUAUCCAAAAAAUAGUCUUCCCGAACAUCAAAAUUGUAUUCAUUAGUGCAUACCACGAUACUACGACCAAAAUAAAUGUUCUGUUAUCUUCUUUUAGUUCAUUCAUAUCAUUAACAUUCCUUGUAACAAGAGCCAAAAAAAAUUCCCUGUAAAGCCUUUCUGAUGAUAUUCUGUAGUCUGACAGAGCCACGCUGUGUAAGCAACUAUAGGCAUGAACUAGUGGUGUUGAAUUGAGUCCGUUUGCAAUGUGUGUGAUUUCUCCUCUGGCAUUGUGUCUUCUACGACAGUGUUUACUGAUAAUUGAGUAAUUAGGUGUAAAAGAUAGCACUCCCAUGGCUCAGUACAACUAAUCUUACCUGCCCGGGUUCCACUGCAGAUCAGGUUUCAUCACCUCAUGAGGUUAAACACUGCAGUUUAGCAGCAGCACCUCAACGCUUCCCUAAAUGUGUGUGUGUGUGUUAGCGGCUUUAAAAAUGCUUAACUGUCCUUAUGCUAUUCACUAAACAGGCCUCAGAGAUGGGGCAAUCAGUAACAAGAAAGUGUUUACAACUCAUUUUCCCCUGAGAAAAAGAUGAUUGUUUGGCUUCACAAUUGAAAAAAAAAAGUUUGACGAUAAUUUGACAUUUCUUUUGUGAGUUUCAAAAUCGCACCCUGAAAGGAAAGUUGUCGGGCACACUUCAUAUAGCUAGCAGCCUCACCCGCGUUGGUAUUCCAAAGACAAACAACAAUGCGUGCUCUUGGCCACAGACAGAGAAAGUGGUCAUUCUUUUUUAGUUACAGUGGCCAUUGAGGUUGUGAAAGUAGUUCAACAUAAUGUGCAUGUCAUUACGGAGUAAAGAGACUUUUGUAAGUCACUCUACUCCCCUUCCUGCUUUCGUUAGGCUCUCAGUUGAAGGGCUAUACACACACACACACACACACACACACACACACACACACACACACACACACACACACACACACACACACACACACACACACACACACACACACAUUUACCAAACAGCACACAUACACACAUUUACCAAACAGAUCAGGCUCAGUCACACCUCUGGCAUGGGAAGCCAUUUAAGCACCAUUACAGCACCAUUACAGCACCAUUACAGCAAACCCACAGAGUUAUAUGCUGCAGCGUCCCUGCACUCCACUAGCCUACUUUCUCUUCCUCUUUUUUACUUUCUUCACCAAAUACCAAACUCCACCUGGGCCUCCAACCAGAAGUGGAUUCGGUUACCGAUGCAUUUCCACUGGAUUGUCCCAAAAGGGGACUCGAAGAAGUAAGCGGUAUGACUACGGGGGAUGAUAUUUAUGUAACACACACAGUAAUCCCACAGGACUUCCAUUCCAAGCCACACCCAGGAGUAGUGGUAACAGGAGAACACCUUUCACAGGGUCAGAUUGGAAGAGGUGGGAAAAACAGGAAGGCAGAAAGGUGCACACAGAUUAGUUUCACCUAUCCACACCUGCUAUCCUCCUUCUGUGUGUGUCUCUCUCUCUCUAAUCCACCUUUUCGUUCUCACUUUCUCUCUAAAGUUAGGGCUGCUGCAACAUAUCGGACCCAUUUGAAUAUUCGUAUCUGCUGUUAAUUUGUGGUGCCCCCCCCCCAUCGUGUUUGCCUAAGAGUUGGCUCCUCUCAAAGGGGACAGUAAUAUCCACUGAUGUAAUGAGUGAGAUAGAGAUCUUUUGUGCACAGCGUUAUAAAUUGUCACCGUAAUGUGAGUGAGUGGGGAGAGCGGGAGAGAGGGGAGGAUAAAGCAGUACGGCUGGAAUCCACAGUGUUGUGAGAGCCCAUACCUUUCAGCUUCAUUAAACCAAUUUCACGCCGAGGUGAGCUACGAGAGGAAGCUCCGAGUCUCAGCGGCAGCAACAAUGGCGCAUUGAAGGGAUGAGGCGAAAGUAAAUUAGGUACCACUUCACAGACGGCAAAUUAAAAUCUGAAAGUUGGAUAGGAAAAGUUGAGGGGAGAUGAUUAUGUCUUUAUUGUGCCCCCCAAUCUGAGAAAAACCCUCCUUCCUUUUACCAACAGUCUUUUGCCCCCCACCUCCCCAACCCAAUCCUCAGAGAAGAAAUUAUCUAUUUCUUGUCUGAUAAUUGGUUUUGAAGAUGCCCCCACUCAAAGCCUUAGUAAAUCUCAAACAGCAAGCUGCGUGUGGACCUCCUUUCAGACACAUCAUUUGCUUGAGCUUAUCAGUAACAUUUCAUAUCUAGGAAAAUCCUAUCAAUUGAACUUUAAUGUGCUGCUUAUUUCUGUGCAAUCAUUGACCUCCUAUGGCCAUUGAGCUGUUCUAUUGGGCAGAGAGGGCUGUUUCUCAGUCAGCCCCCUCAGGGUGCAGCUUUUAGCCGACAGACACAGCCCUCUCUGCUUAUGGAGUUAGUAUUACUAUUUACCAUGGCGUUACAUGGAAAUCCAUAUUUGUUUGUGUCAGAUGUUGAUUUGAUACAUGUACAAAGUAUAUCUCUUAAAUUCCAUUGACUCUAAUCUGAUAUGUAAAGUUCUACUUUUUGACAGUGUUUUUCAGAAGUGCGGAGAGAGAGAGGAGCGUCAGAAACAUGAAACCUAAGAUAGCAGAGUGGAAGAAGAGAACAAGUCGUUAGCACUUUGAAACCAGACACCGGGAGGUAUCAGAUCCAUUGGGUGGCUAAGGAUCAUGGGUAUAGUGUGUGUGUGUGUGUGUGUGUGUGUGCGUGUGUGUGUGUGUGUGUGUCAGCGUGUGUGCCUUCAUGCAUGCCGUGUGUGUGUGAAUGAGUGUGUGUGUGAAUGCGUGUGUGUGUGUGUGUGUAUGGGGAGGUGGAUGCUGACAGGGUCUCUCUCUCUUUCUCUCUCUCUCUGGUUGACUGGGUCACUCGGGGGCCCCGGACCCCACACAAUGCCCUGGCAGCAGUGUGGGCUUUACUGGGCCUCUACAGAGCAGCGCCGAGCUGCUAGCUUUACGAGAGACAGACGGAUGGAUCCCUUCACCUCGCGCCAUAAAGCCACCAGUCGGGGAUAAAAGAGGACAGAUGCGAGGGGAAGCAUUGAGAGCUCACCUGCACCCAGCAGGGAACAGCCUCUAUCCAGCCAACCCAAGAGGGCCUCUACAUUCAGCCUCCUCUCACUAACACCACUAAUAGGGAACAGGGGCACUGUCAAAUAAGUGGAGAAUCCUUCCUUGUUUUGGAUGGCCUGGGAUCCUUAUUAGCGGUUAGUGCUAGAACACAGCUAUACUGGUGAAGAGUUCAGUGCAGUUAACACGGAUGUUGACAGUGCAGGGCAGAGCAGGCUGCAACAGGUUGCUGCUAAAAGCUGUAAUUACAGUAUGAUCUGCAGACUCUAGUUACUGGGAGAGUGAGAGUGGUGGGAUCCUUGUGAAAAGUGCCAAUUCUGAAUGUAUUUUUAAGAGGCACUUGUUGGAGGGAGAACAUGGUUAGGUAACAGGUUGAUCAGGAGUCUGACAGGGAAUGGGACAUACAGACAGACUAACUGACAGAGGGUCAGGAUUGGAGACAGGAGGCAGGCAAGGUGGCAGAUGGGCUAAGCGACAGACAGAGACAGGUAGGCAUGGAGUCAUGGAGCCAGGCAGUCAGGGAGGCAAGCUGUCAGCGAGGGCAGACCCACCCUGGGUAGCUUCUGCCUUCCCUGUUGGAGUGACAGAUGUGUGGUGAAUCUUUAGCUCUCCUCACAGCUCCUCACUCCCCAGUGUCACCGCAUCUGUCCCCUCCUCAGUUCCCCUUGGCUCAGCCCCCUCCUGUGUAAAUGCAGGACAACAAAAAUGAGUUCAGUGGACUUAUUGAUUAGUCCAGCCUGCACUGGCUAGCUUCAUUUAAUGACCUCUGGGACUCAUUAUUGACAAGGCUUUGUCUUUGUGAUUUGUUCAAAAUUUCACUGGGCACAUGGGAACCCUGUGUCUCACACAGUAGGACAAUUUAAACAGAACAUCUGUAGCCUAGCGGAUCAAUGCAAAAAUGUGCAUGUUGAUCUACAGUGCAGAACUAUGAGCAUAUUUGAAUAUGUUGACAUAGAUCAAGCAGAUAAACAAACAUUUGGACAAUGAUAAGUGGGUCAUGUUUGUGGGACAACAACAACAGAAAAGAAGAGGUCAGCAUAUGCUCUCAACCGAACACAACGUCCUGUCUCAUUGUCUGCCUUAAACCCCACUGUAAAAAACAUAUACUGCCUCGGCCAUAGUAGAUGGUAAGUAGCAUUUUAUCCUCACCAGUCUAAUCUUCUCAGACGCCUCAAUGUUAAAGGGUCUGGACUCGCCGUCCCCCCAUCCCCUGUCCCUCUCCCCCGCUCAGCCUGGCCCUGGCGAGAGAUGGUUUAUUUCAAUUGAAAAUUAGCAAAACAAAACAAGGGCAAGAGGAUCCCUGAAUGGGGCCCCUUUCUCUGGGAGCUCCUGUGCUGUUGAAUAAUGCAUAUGGGAGAAAGUAAACAGCAGCCUCGGGCUCCGUCCAAGGAACAAUGGGCCGCACACAGUCCAACCACGGCGCCUGAUUUUAUUACGGGCCCUGUCAGUCCCCUCCUCCAUCCAUCCCUCCCUCCAGUACCUCCUCUAGCCUGGGAAUCGUGGAACGCAGGCCAGGCAGCAGCUGCUGACCGCUCCGCACUGACCCAACACACUCCGCAACCUGCAGGAUAACUCCACACACACUCCCUCCCAACCAGCACACACCACCACUACAGUGCAUACAUAUACUCAGUCACACCAGGCAGCAACUGGUUGGCCACAUCCAGAUGGUGUCUUGUGAGGAAAUGUUUGAAUUUGCUGAAUGUUCGAAACAUAUGGAAUUUAUGUUUUUGUUCUUGUCAUGAAUGACUGACUGACUCAUUUAGCCUGAGGAAAAUAUCAGACUUUACCAACUCCAACCCCUAUUUCUGAGAUCUUGGCUUGGACAGUGCCGGGUCACUUUGGCCACUUGUGAACUUUUCUCUCCACUAGAACAUUCUGUCUGUGUGUGUUCUCUCUCUCUCUCCGAUCAGGCUGGCAUUGAGAUUCCGGUCUUGCUUCUGGCUUCAGCCUGGGGCGGUUGCCAUGCCGACAGGCAAAUUGGCUAGCAGGAUGAGUAGUGAUGUGAUGUGGCUGUGGCUUUAAAGUCCCAACAAAGACUGUAUUACAACCCAAUCUUUGCAUAACACACUAUUGUUGUCAUGUGCUACUGAUAUUAAUCCUCUUCCUGCUGCAGGAGACGUGUGUGUCUCUCUGUGGAAAGGUUUUGUGUGUAUGUACGUGAACGUGUGUGUAUGGCUGGACACCAGAAGUCACACUAAAGAUUAUCUACAGUCACAACGACUGAAGAUACAUACUGAAUAAAAUAAAGGAUUUUGC
ensembl:lncRNA